UCGGACCAGGCUUCAUUCCC
rnacentral:ncRNA from 9 species